UACGUAGGGUCCGAGCGUUGUCCGGAAUUAUUGGGCGUAAAGAGCUCGUAGGCGGUGUGUCGCGUCGGCCGUGAAAACCUGUAGCUUAACUGUGGGCUUGCGGUCGAUACGGGCAUCACUGGAGUUCGGCAGGGGAGACUGGAAUUCCUGGUGUAGCGGUGAAAUGCGCAGAUAUCAGGAGGAACACCGGUGGCGAAGGCGGGUCUCUGGGCCGAUACUGACGCUGAGGAGCGAAAGCGUGGGGAGCGAACAGG
rnacentral:rRNA from 1 species